GUGAAUCAUCGAAUUUUUGAACGCAAAUUGCACUCUCUUGGGAGAGUAUGCCUGUUUGAGGGUCAGCCUAUAAAAAAUCGACAUCGUCGCUGUUUCGCGGUGACUUUCGUCUGAAAUGGUGGCAUCUUAAAUCCUUUUGGUGUUAAGCGACUUAAAAUUUACUUUUUGUUUGCAUGAAUGUUUCUACAUUUUAUUUUUUUAUACGUUUAUGGUAUCGAUUUUUAUUAUACUUGACCAUAAUAUCGCAUCU
rnacentral:misc_RNA from 1 species